rnacentral:lncRNA from 1 species
GUCACUUCCAUUAUUAGGUAACAAAAGACUGUGACUUCUCUCUUGCUGGCAUUCUCCCCCUCAGGUUCUUCUCAUUGGCUCACUGUGAUGGAAAGCACCACAAGGCAAGGAAUUGAGGGCAGCCUCUAGCCAACAUCCAGUGAGGAACUGAGCCCUCAGCCCACAGAGAACUGAAUCUUGUCAAGACCACUGAGCUAGGAAAUAGACUUGAUGCUUGGAGGUGCAGAAGCCAUCCAGAGACCAUGAGGAGGGAAUCUGCACAGUACGGACGAGAGAGUGGGAAGAUGGAAGAAACGAUUUACAUCACCCAUUCGAGGAUUCUCCAAA